rnacentral:lncRNA from 1 species
UUGCCUUUUAUUUCUCUGCAAGAUGUAGCCCUGCUACUGCAACAGCAGUACAAAUUUGGUGCACCUACAGGCCAUUCAGUGUGACAACAUCCAGCACCAGAAAGAUGCACUGAGACUGUUGAACAAGGGACACAAACAAAGUGACACAUACACAACUAAUCACAUCAAAUUAAGAAUAUGUAUGUCUGAACAUUCACCAGCGAUAUGGAAAAUAUAGCCAAGUAUCUAUCCGUUUUUCCCGAGUCACGAUUCAACAGCGGACGUCUUAGUAGAACCAUAACGCAACGACGGGUCGAGAGCAGUUCCCAGAUUCCAUGACAGGACGGUGACGCUGGUACAAAAUAUGCAAAUCCCCACUAAAACUUAUUCAGCUCUUGGACACUUCCGAAUGACUGACUGACUGGUAUAAGAUGACGGUGCUAGACAGAGUCUGCCUUGGUGUAGAUCCGUACGGCGACGGCCAGGCCCAGUAUCGCGAGGGGGACCAAGAACUGGAGGAUCUUGAUGACGAACUCGGGGGUCUUGUCCUGGUUGUAGUGCGGCUGCUUGGGCGGCGUGUACUUGACCUUGGUGGGUAUCGUGGUCGCGUCGAUCUCGCCGACGUAGUACUCGUCCAUCAUCGCCCGGGCGGUUGUGCUGUGUCCCACGUCCUCGAAGUCGUCGGUCGCGUCCUUGGCUGCAGAUGUAAAAGUGAGCUUGUGAGCUGAAAUUGCAUUCCCUUGUUUGCAGCCCUGUUUAUAAUUACCAAAGAAACAUGCGAUGGGGCAGUACCAGUUGAAGACAGCAAGACGUCGUCGCCUCCAGGGUGGUCAUCAAGAAACUUGGUCACAUUGUACACCUACAUACAGGAGCACAACAUAUUCCUCAGUGAGAUUUGGUUUUCAGAAUUUUAUAACACAAGGCCUUGCCGAUAUAAAAGCAUGUUCGUACCACUUUGUAACUGCAAGUCACAGAGGUUUCGCUACAAGGACCGUCACGUGUAUAGAAUUGUAACAAAGUUGUAAAUCAUGUGCAGGGAAACACGAGAAACAAGAAGUGCACACUUGAGACUACGAGGCCCAGAUUUUGGAAUUCAGCCAGAAAAUAUUUCUGGUCGAGUCGACAUCUUGUUUGGAAAGCUGGGGGUCCAAGAAGACGACAGAUUACCAAACGAUGCUGACGCGCACGCGGACAAUCAAAUCGGUACAAUCACAACGCUGAACAAGAAUGAAGGCCAUAAUUAUAUGCCAGCUAUUAAUUAGAUUAGACGUACAGAGCAAAGAUAAUAGGACCUGAACCGAAGAAACUGGUGCAGUGAAUGUGAAACGGCUAAGCGCUAUGGAAUCCAUGUAAGGAGACUAGAUUGGCUGAAAGAAAAUCUGCAUGUAAGGUCAGUAAGCAAGCGUGCAAGCGGCUGGUGAACAAGAAUCAAAGUGCCCUUGUAAAGCAAGUCGGUUUCUGGUAAACUGAAACAUGAGUGCGUUAGCCUAGCAUCAUCGUAACAGCCGGAUGGGAGGAAGCGGCGUUGUAAAAGGAAAGGCGGCAGAGCGGCUAGUAGAUGGCCCGAUCUGCGAUCUGCCUGCCUUCUCCCGCCCCUGAUGGGUGAUUGGAUGCCAGGCGCAAGCGGUUGGGCAGCCGAGAUGAAGACAAGGCUAGCAGAAUUUGGCUGCCAUCAAUCCAUCAUUUGAGCCAUGCCGAUGCAAGCAUGUAAAGGGUUGGAACGAUUACUAUGCAAUUGAGGUGAGGUAGUAUUAAAAAUAAGGUUUACAAGAAACAUGUGGGCAUCAUCAAGCUGGCACGGCAGAGUUGGGAUGUGCUUAGAUGAGAUCCAGACAGAAACAAGCAACAAGAGAAUUGCGAGAGAUGAAGCAAACAAGCAGAGGCCGGCAAUUCGGCGCGGCGGCAGCAGUAGCAGGUUGGUACAGUUAGAAAAGAAUUCAGAGGCGAGACUUGUCGGCGACCUCUCUCCAGAUCUUUCCUUGUCCCGUCCGGCUGGGUGAAGGCUGGUAGGAGACGGGAUCGAUCUAAUCUAGCCGAUGGGUCGGCGGAUCAGGAGGCGGCCGUGGGUGGGCGCGGGUCAAAGCGCGGGCGGCGGAGAUCCCGAGGAAAGGAAAAAACAAGACAAGAGACCCACGCGGCGGCGGCCGGAUCUCGAAGAAGAGAGGGGGGCUACUACCUUGCCGCCGAUGACGAGCCAGCAGUCGUCCUUGGAGCUGUGCUUGGCGACCUCCUCCAGGGUGAAGAGCUUGCCACCGGACGACGACAUGGUCUCCUCCUCCUCCUCCUCCUCCUCCUCUCUCUGCUUCCAAGGAGUCAAGCGAGAGUGAUGGGAAGGGUUUGGAUCCAAGGGGGAGGAGCGGAAUUGAUUGAUAUCAGAUGGAGAGGGGAGGGGGGCCGCGGUUGGUAGGUGCGGAGCGGUGCGGCAUGGAGUGGACCGGGGGCGGGUGGGGUGGGGCCGCGGUUUGAACGGGCCCGCAUGUCAUCGUCUGCGAGGCUGUGGGAGGGUUGGGUUGACCCACCCACCCCGGCCGCGCCCGCCCACCCACACCAAUCCCUUCCCGGACUGGGAGCCUGGCAGGGAUGGGUCCAUCUGCGGGCGGGUCGGCAAACCCGUGCCGUGCUGCACCUCGCACUCCGAUCUGCGGGCCAAGUCAGUUAGACACACAUACGCUGCGAGUCAUAAAACUUGAACGCGACGGUCAGUUAGUUUGAUGCAUCAACUUGUAAAAUAGUACGUGUUUUUCAUCAUCAAACUUGCACGAAUGUUCAUAUACGGUCACACGCCGGCGUAUAUGUGGCCUAUGUGGCAUGCCAGCGUGGCCAAGCCCACAUCGCAUGGUAGAUCUGCAGGCUUCGUAUUAUGCCCCUAUUUUUUUUUAACAUAUUAAGCCCCUAAAAAAUAUUUUUUUAUUUACAUAUUAAGCCCCUAAAAUAAAAUGAAGAAACAAGGGAUGCUUGGGUUUCUAACCACGGACGUGCCACUACUAGACUCGGGUGGACAACCACCGAACCGAUGAUCAUUUAUGUCUAGGUAGCAUGAAUAAUUUCUAUAUCAUAUAAACACGGCCAAAAAAUAAAUUUUACAAGAAAUGUAAAAUGGGAGCACCAUGGAUCGACUAUGUGACCUCCUGGUCAACAUUAACUCUUUUUUUUAGGUGAGGUCAACAUUAACUAAGGUUACCAUCAAGCUUCGGCAACACAACAUGUCCAAAUGGGAUAAAUAUUUUUCAUGUUGUUAUUCCUUCUUGUUCUAUGUAAGAAAAAAAAUUAUAUCCUUGUGUUUGUAACAUUUAGGAAACGUUUUAAAAAAGGUAUGUGACAUUUAAAAAAAUGCUUAAACAUUGUAAAACACAUUUGUGCAAUUAAAAAUGAUAUGUUGCAUUUUAAAAAUGUUCAUGCAUUCGAAAAAAAACUGGUCAUGACGUUUUUUUAUUUUUAUAUGUAUAAAAUUGUUCCAAUAGCUUAAAAAUGUUUCAUACCAUACGAAAAUGUUUAAAACAUAUUUGAAAAAAGUUUCAAGACUUGUAUUUGAAAAACUGUUAAUCAUAUAUUCAAAAAAUAUUAAGCAUAUUUUUCAAAAAAUGCUCCAAAACAAAUAAGUAUACUAGAGUAUUUAAAACAUAUGUAUAUCAAAACAUAGAUGUAUACAGGAGUAUUUAAAACGUCAAAACAUAUGUGUAUCAUAUGGAAUAUAUGUUUCAAUACACAUAAAUUUCAAAACUUGUAUUUGAAAAAUUGUUAAUCAUAUGGAGUAUAUGUUUUCAUGUCUAUUUUUUCCAGUAUACAUCUAAAAACAUUUUUACACAUGUUUAAUAUUUUUUAAACAUAUGAUUAACAUUCUUUCAAAUAUGUGGUUAAACAUAUGAUUAACAUUUUUUUCAAUUACAACUUUUUAAAAUGUCACGUACCUUUUUUUAAUACAGAAAUAUUUUUUAAAUGUCACAAACACAAGAAUAUAAUUUGUUUUCUUACAUCGGGACGUGUUGUGUUCUCGUAGGCUGGUGGUAAUCUUAAUUAAUGUUGACCACAAGGUCGCAUGGUCGUGCCACGGUGCUCGUUUUUUCGGGUUACAUUUCUUGUAAAAUUUAUUUCCAGUCAGUGUUUAUAUGAUACAGAAAUUAGCCGUGUUAUACAGACAUGAAUGAUCAUUAAUCUGGUUGUUGUCCACGGAGCCUACUAGGGGCACGUUGCGGCUUCCGAACGCCAUCAUCCCUUGUUUUUUCAUUUUAUCUUUAGGGGCUUAAUGUGAAAAUAAAAAAAGGCAAGGGCUUCUCUGCAGAUCUACAUGCCACAGCAGCUGACAGUGGGCCCUGGCCACGCUGGCAUGCCACAUAGGCCAUGGAUACGUCGGUGUACGUGAAAUGUGACCGUAUACGAACGCCCGUGCAAGUUUGAUGACCGAAAACACGUAUUUUACAAGUUUGUGCACUAAGUUAAUCGUCGCGUGUAAGUUGUAUAACUUCCGAUGUAUUUAACUCAGUCAAUUACUACUACUCGUGUCAUGUUCGUGCGCACAUCGUCUAAGAGCAUCUCUGGCAGAUUUCAUAAACCUUCGUCCUCUAGAAUCGCUUUAAAGGAUGUUGUAAAACAUUUUUACAAUGUUUUUACGGGAUGAAUGACGUGUGUGUCGGUAGAACAGAUAGAUCCUGCAUAAAUCACUUCAUGUCCCUGCAAAAUAGCAUACAACCCCCUACAAGCAAAAUAAAGAUUGCAACUGCGUCCUUCGCAUACGAGGCGCCGACUGGGUCAGAGGUUCCGCGGCGCAAGGAGGAACGCGCGCGUCUUGCCGGUGGCGGCGCCGUCAUGGAGCAGGACGAGUAGCGCCGGGGCAGACGUGAGGAGCAGGCAGCAGCUCACUAGCUAGCUAGCUAGCGCUCGUAGCUCGGGGCUCGACCAGCAGCGGCGGUAGGGUCCGGUGGUCACCGGCGUUGAGGCGUUCGGCGAAGUCGUGCUCGGGGAAGCCAGGGCGGGAGCUGAAACUUCCCUCCCGACUAUCGUCAAUUAUUUUUCAGGUCCCUGCAAAAAUUGACCCAAAUCCCGUAGAUAUAGAGGAAAUGGCCCAGAAUAUACAUGUUCGCGCAUUUUUUUUACAGGAUGGACGAUUUUACGAGAUCUAUUCAGGGCGGAAAAAGCAUCCUGUCCCAUAAACUGACGGUUAUUUUGCCGGAUGACCCCUUUCACGGGAUCUACUGGAGAUGCUCUAAACUGGGAAAGCUCCUGCUACUCACGCUCACCGUCCACGCGGCACGCGCACACAAUCACAUCACACGACGUUCGGUGCCAUGCCACUUCAAGAUUGAAGAAAUCACCAUAGGCGGAUGACCAAGACGACGUAUCUCGCUGUGCGCUAGUACAUUGCCACUAGCCGAAAUAAGAUGAUCCACCUCGACGACACACAGAGCGUCAUGCCCACGACCCGUGGGUCGGGGUAAUUAACCAUCCAUCCUCUUUGACAAUCUGAACGCAUGCUUGCUUCUUGGCCUUCUUUGAAUUCAACGGUUAGCGGCAUGGUGUGUUCAUGUUCUGGAGGUUCUCGACCGGCCAGUUGGAACUGCGUCGGGAGAUGGGUGAUAACCCACAAGUAUAGGGGAUCGCAACAGUUUUCGAGGGUAGAGUAUUCAACCCAAAUUUAUUGAUUUGACACAAGGGGAGCGAAAGAAUAUUCUCAAGUAUUAGCAGCUGAGUUGUCAAUUCAACCACACCUGAAAGACUUAAUAUCUGCAGCAAAUUAUUUAGUAGCAAAGUAAUAUGGAAGUAACGGUAAUAGUAGCAAAAGUAACAGUGGCAACGGAAAAGUAACUUAGCGAAGAUCACUAUGUGAAAAGCUCGUAGGCAAUGGAUCAAUGAUGGAUAAUUAUGUCGGAUGGCAUUCAUCAUGCAACAUUUAUAACCUAAGGUGACACAGAACUAGCUCCAAUUCAUCAAUAUAAUGUAGCAUGUAUUCCGAAUAUAGUAAUCCGUGCUUAUGGAAAAGAACUUGCAUGACAUCUUUUGUCCUACCCUCCCGUGGCAGCAGGGUCCUAUUGGAAACUAAGGGAUAUUAAGGCCUCCUUUUAAUAAAGAACCGGACCAAAGCAUUAGCACUUAGUGAAUACAUGAACUCCUCAAACUACGGUCAUCACCGGGAAGUGUCCCGACUAUUGUCACUCCCGGGUUGCCGGUGUUGGGAAUCGUAGCAGAAUUUUAAAAUUUCCUACGCAUCACCAAGAUCCAUCUAUGGAGUAUACUAGCAAUGAGGGGAAAGGAGUGCAUCUACAUACCCUUGUAGAUCGCGAGCGGAAGCGUUCUAAUGAACGGGGUUGAUGGAGUCGUACUCGUCGUGAUCCAAAUCACCGAUGACCGAGUGCCGAACGGACGACACCUCCGCGUUCAACACACGUACGGAGCAGCGACGUCUCCUCCUUCUUGAUCCAGCAAAGGGAAGGAGAGGUUGAUGGAGAUCCUGCAGCACGAUGGCGUGGUGGUGGAUGUAGCGGGAUCUCGGCAGGGCUUCGCCAAGCUUCUGCGAGAGGGAGAGGUGUUGCAGGGGGAGAGGGAGGCGCCAGGGGCUGUGGUGCUGCUGCCCUCCCUCCCCCCACUAUUUAUAGGUAUCCCAAUACCUUGUUCAAUCUCGUUACCGGCAAGUCUCUUUACUCGUACCGCAAUGCAUGAUCCCGUGACUAACGCCUUAGUCACAUAAAGCUCAUUAUGAUGAUGCAUUACCGAGUGGGCCCAGAGAUACCUCUCCCUCACACGGAGUGACAAAUCCCAGUCUCGAUUCGUGCCAACCCAACAGACACUUUCGGAGAUACCCGUAGUGCACCUUUAUAGUCACCCAGUUACGUUGUGACGUUUGGCACACCCAAAGCACUCCUACGGUAUCCGGGAGUUGCACGAUCUCAUGGUCUAAGGAAAAGAUACUUGACAUUGGAAGAGCUCUAGCAAACGAAACUACACGAUCUUUUAUGCUAUGCUUAGGAUUGGGUCUUGUCCAUCACAUCAUUCUCCUAAUGAUGUGAUCCCGUUAUCAAUGACAUCCAAUGUCCAUAGUCAGGAAACCAUGACUAUCUGUUGAUCAACGAGCUAGUCAACUAGAGGCUUACUAGGGACACGUUGUGGUCUAUGCAUUCACACAUGUAUUACGAUUUCCGGACAAUACAAUUAUAGCAUGAAUAAUAGACGAUUAUCAUGAACAAAGAAAUGUUAUAAUAACCAUUUAUUAUUGCCUCUAGGGCAUAUUUCCAACACUCACCUGUAAGUCCAGCCCGAACAUAGGACCGAGGCCCAAAAAUUACUCCUUUUCGACACUUACACGUGUAAUCCCGACCCAAACACAGCCCGAGGCCUGAAAAUUACUCAUUUUCGACAGCCCCAUUUGUAAUCCCGACCCGAAUACGGGCCGAGGCCUGAAAAUUACUGCUUUUCGACACCUCCACGUGUAAGCUUGGCUUGAACACAGGACCGAGGCCCCAAAAAUUCUCCUUUUUGACACCUCCACGUGUAAGCCCGGCCUAAAUACAUCCUUAAGGGAUGAACAUUACUCCUCUUCGAUACCACCACAUGUAAGUGCAGCCCGAACACAGGCCGAGGCCUGAAAAUUAUUCCUUUUCGACACAUCCACAUGUAAGCCCGGCUCGAACAUAGGCCCGAGGCCCCAAAAUUACUCCUUUUCGACACAUCCACGUGCAAACCUGGCCAGAGGCCCAAAAAUUACUAAUUUUUGACACCUCCACGGGUAAGCCCGCCUAAAUACAGGCUCGAGGCCAAAAAAUUUCUCCUUUUUGACACCUCCAGGUGUAAGCUCGGCCUGAACACAGGCCCGAGGCCCGAAAAUUACUCCUUUUUUACACCUCCACAUGCAUGUAAGCCCGGCCCAAACACAGGCACGAGGCCCGAAAAUUACUCCUUUUCAACACCUCCACAUGCAUGUAACCCCGGCCCAAACAUAGGCACGAGGCCUGAAAAUUACUCCUUUUCAACACCUCCACGUGUAAGCCGGGCCCAAACAUAGGCCCGAGGCCCAAAAAUUACUGCAUUUUGACACCUCCACGUGUAAGCUCGGCCCAAACACAAGCCCGAGCCCCGAAAAUUACUCUUUUUUGACACUUGCACAUGUAAGCCCGGCCCGAACACAGGUCUGAGGCUCGAAAAUUACUCCUUUUCGACACCUCCACGUGUAAGCCCGGCUCAAACACAACCCGAGGCCUGAAAAUUACUCAUUUUCGACACCUCCAUGUGUAAACCCCACCCAAGCACAUGCCCGAGGCCCAAAAAUUACUCUUUUUCAACACCUCCACGUGUAAGCCUGACCCAAACACAGGCCCGAGGCCCAAAAAUUACUGUUUUUGACACUUACACGAGUAACAACAAUGGUGAUGAAAUUGUAGCUGUGUGUUCAAGAUUAAAGUAAGAACUUAAGUUAACGUUCACCUGGUCAUGUAUUUGUUUAACAUAAAUUAUUACGAUUUCUUCUUUGAUGACCACGGGCGUAUAAAUGAUUGUCAUGUCCUCAUCAUCCUCCCCCUCUUGAAAUGGAUUUGUCCUCGACUCUAGCUGGUCAUCGCACAAAGCAAAAUAGGCCAGUACAAAGAAGCAACACAAAUACUUUAUGGAAUGCAUAACUUUAGUUUUCACCUUUGCGAACUUCUUCAAAUGUUUAUGAAUGUCAACAUGAUGUUUUGUUCGACCCAAUAACUCUUUCCAACUAAAAUUUCCACGGAGUACAAACUUGUAUCCAACCAUGACCAUGUCCAUAUCAUCCUCCCUCUCUUGGAGAAAUGUCAUCUUUGACUUUAUUCGGUCUACAAAAUUAUAGCACGAGGACAAUACAAAAAACUAGGGAAGUAAAAGUUGAAGAAUUAUGUGUGGAUCUUAAGUUUGCCAACUCCUUUGUUUUCUCUUCAUGGUUGAAAAUAUUAUAUUGAUGGACUGAUGGUGUGCUAAAAGAUGUAACCAAUCAUUUUUCUCUUAUUUCAUUUCCUCAAUGUUUCAAGAGUUCAUAUGUGCAUACCUCGGGGUGCAUCAAAAUGAAAGAUCCUUUGUUUACCUCAGUACUUCAAUGCCAGUCUGAAAAUCGUUCAAAUGGUUUAUCUAAUUAAUUUCUCGAUUGUUGUUUUCCUGUUGCAGUUACGAGGUGAGGACAACCGGAGCAUCGAAAAGAAAUCUUAGAGUUUAUUGAUCUGCUCAAGAGAAUGCCUUAUGUCUUGCAGUAGAAAGUUAUGAAAUUUUCAUCACCAGGCAAUUAUCAACAAGGUACAACCAUAAUCAUUUGCAGAGAAAAAAAUUGUUUAAAUAGUUCACUUAACUUCUAGGCUAAUGUUGGUCUCUGCGCCAAUUGGCACAACGGGUCAUCUAGUGUAGUCUAGUGUAGUAAAGAACAAGGACACAUGCAAACAUCCUCGCCAUACAAGACUUUAAAAACCGAAAUAGCCACUUGCCACCAACAAAACACACACAACCUAAUAUUAAUUCCUCUAUCUGCUGCCUAGGCAUGGCUGUGAGUCUUCCUACCGCCUUUUCCCUUGCGCCUUCUUCUUCUUGCAGCUUCCUCUCCACUGGGAGAUGAGAGUGUUAGUCAAGGAUUCACCAACAAAAUAAGAAAAACACAAGCAACACCCAUAUAUCAAUCAACCAUGAUAAGUAAAAAAAAGACACAUGUAUAAUCAUGGGUAGCUAUACCUGUCUAUACCAAGACGUGAAACGAAGAACGCCGGCCAGUCCAUCUCUAAGAGCACGGCGUCCAGAGGGCUGUUGGGGCGUGCGUGAGGCCCGUCCGCCACCUCCUUCAUUGCUCCGGUCUCGAGAUCGGCGGUGUACACGCGCCCGCGCCCGUCCAUGACAAGCAAUUUGCCACACUUCUCUCCCAGUAUGGAAAGUGUGUCUUUUCCUUGGGUCGUCUUCUUCCAGUAUGGUUGUAUCAGCUCGAUCGUCUGAGGGUGGAGCCAUUGUGAGGAAUGAUAGAACCUGUCUUGGCCCUCUUGUCUCCAUAUCUGUAGCCGGGAACCUGUCUCUUGCAUCUGUAGCACCGAGAGCGUGUCGUCGCUGUUCAGGCGAAGGCACGGGCGGUGAUCUCGGUCAGGCAACAUCUCGUCCGGGAGCCACGUGAAUCUGAGAUAGUCGUCCUGGCCAAUCAUCAGUUUAACAAUACGGAAACACCGUUCCUUGUCAUCAUGAAAUAGCCAGUACGCGACGCCGUGGCAGACUACGGCGUCGGUUUGACAGAAUGACCCGAUGGUAUUGUCCCACAUAGUUUCAUAGGAGCGCCUUGUACUCCAGCUCGGUUUGUCAGUCGAGAAGGUGUGGAUAUCAAACUUAGUCCGCCCCCCCUCAUGGCCGGCCGUGACGAUUAGCACUUCGUAGAAGGGCGGUGGCUGUCCGCCGCUGCCGGAGCGACAAUCGUCACUGGAUAGAAUGGCACAACAGUAGCAUCCAUAGUCACUAUACCUGACAGAGGUGGUGUGCACUAGAGGAGGGAGUUCGUCGCACGUGCCGAGGAGAAGGUUGCACACGGCCAGACGGAGGACCGUCUGGUCCAGGUCUGCCUCGCGGGGUGGGAUGAGGCGCACGAGGAGCAGGCCGCGGCGGGAGGCCAGCGGCACGGCGCGGUCCGGCACGGUGGGCACGAAGGAGCGGAGGCCACGGCACCGACGGCCCAGCGCCGACCGUGGCGUGGGGACGAGCGCCUUGGCCUCUUGAUCACGGACCCGGUUCUUGAUGAAGAAGCCGGCGAGGGACGGGCGCGCGUCCUCCGGCCACCGGCGGCGGAGCAUGGCGGGGUCGGCGACGAGGCCUCGCCACUGCUUGCAGGCCGCGGCACAUCGGAAGAGCGCGGCCGCGUCGUCCACGCGGAGCAGGAUGUCGAGGAGGAGGUCGUGCGGGAGCGAGGCCACCAUGGCCGCCGCCGUGUCUUUGAGCGAUCUGAUCGGAGGAGGAGCCUCGUGUCGUCUGCGUAGGGUUUGGGUUACUCUCGAAAGAUAUAUGCUUGGAGCUGGAAGUCGUCACGAACUCACGAUGCGGGCCGUAUCCGUAUCGCAUACUUUACGGCAACUAACACGGGUGGCACAUACGUCAAACAGCAAAGAGUCGAUUACGUCACUGGUGCUAGAACUUGGCAUGAAUGGUCAAUUCAGUGCUACAAGUUGUGAUGUACAUUGAAGUGGUGCAAAAACUUGGCAUCGUGGUGCAAAUACGGUGCAAAACUCGUCCGUAUACAUCCAUGACGUCAGCAUGGCAUGGGUCCGCUCUCAGUGACCGGACGAUGGAGACAGGGCGUGUGGCCUGCUCUUUUUGCAAAAAUGAAAUAAAAACCUUCAGCUUUUAUUAUUUUUUUUACACAAAAACAACACUGUGAGGUCCACCUGUUAGAAACAGCCCAAACCCGCAGGUAUCUCCUGCGCGCGUCUUACCAAAUCAAUCGAUGUUGAAGUGGGAAGUUAUGUGAAUUUCAUAUCAAUUCUAUGUGAAUUUUUGAAGUGGGAAGUUAUAUUAGCCCAACAGCUUAAGUUAUUACCUUUAAACAGCACAAACCCGCAGUCCCAGGGGUUCAAACAAAGGACCUACACGUUUUACAAUUUGGCGAUAAACCACCAAGCCUGAUGACAUUUUCUGUGCCAGUUUGGCCUAAUAGCAUAAAUUAAAACUCUAAACUCGGAUGAAAAAGUUUCAGCAGUCAAAAUCAGCGACCUCCUAUCCCGAUACUGCAAACUAACACGCGACGAAGAUUGUUUCUUACACGUAGGCUAAUGGUUAUAUUGAGGCCGCAUUUCCAUUCUUUAGAAAACGUAAUAUUUUACAUAAAUAUUUUGUUUCCAAAAAGGACAUAAACAUUUUCAGAAAGCAUGAAUUUUUUUAUAUAUUGCAUUAAUAUUUUAUUAAAAACUUAAUUUAAAUUUAUAUGAACAUUUAUAUUAAUAUAUUUAACCACGGUAAAUAUUUUGAAAUUAAUAGUCACAAAUUUAGUAUAAAGUAGUUUUAAAAUUUUAAAUAUAUUGAAAACAAUAAAUAACAAUAGGUUGUCCCAGGAACAAGAAAUACUGAUAAAGAUAAAGAUCAUACCUGAGGUCACCCGCUGCAUUUUUUGUAAAAUGCUAACCUUUUAAAACUACAUAAAUUAAUGCUUUUAAAUUAUAUGAACAUUUAUUUAAAUAUAUUUAAAUAAAUAUUCGUAUGAUUUAUAUAUUCAUGUUUUAAAUAAAAUAUUCAUGCAAUAUAUGAACGUUUUCAUGUUUUCGAAAAUGUUUAUGAACUUUCAGGAAACAAAAUAUUUAUGAUUUACGACAAAUCGUGGGCAACACUUAUAAGUAAAAUAUUAUACUCUCUCCGUCCCAUAAUAUAAGAGCGUUUUUGACACAAGUGUAGUGUUACUAACACUUUUAUAUUAUGAGACGGAGAGAAUAAUAUACAUAAAAGUGGUCUCAAUACAAUAGCCUAUCUAGCAAACAAAUUUUGGCGGCCCUGGUUGUUAAUCGCGUAUGCCUGAAAUCUUCAGGUCGCUGGUUCGAGCCCCUUGGAUACCUUUUUCAUGUGAGUUAAAUAAUUUCAUUUACGCUGUUAUUAGGGGAAAAGGAUGUAGAAUUCACGUCUCCCACCUGUGCACCGAAUGUCUCAUUGGCCGAUGUUAGGUGCGCUCUUCCCUAAAAAAAAAGAGGAUGUUAGGUGCACUCGCAUGUUAGCUGCCGGUUCUAUGCUCGAAGCCUCGUGUGUGCUAUUUUUUUCUUAGUGCGAUUUGUGCAGGUGGGCCUCCCAGCAAUAUUUUUAAGCAAAAAUAUAAAAAUCUAGUUUUCUUUUUGCAAAAAUAGCAGGUCAAAAGUCCUGUCCCAUCUCCGUCACUGGCAGCCGGCCCCACGCCUUGCUGGCAUGUCUCAUCAGUGCCACGAACAUAUACAAACGAGUUUUGCACCGUAUUUGAACCAUGAAGCCAAGUUCUUGCACCACUUCAAUGUACGCCACAACUUGUAGCAUUAAAGUGAUCAUUCCUGCCAAGUUCUUGUACCAAUGGUGUAAUUGACUCAACAGCAAACAACAAAUGAGGUUAACGUACACACUUUACUAUCUACCUCCCUGAAUUUAGAUUAUAGGAUUAAUUAGAUAAAUGCCACUCCAAUUCGGUGCUUCAGAAAAACCACUGCAAUUUACAAACUCCGAAAAAUGCUACUUCAUUUUUUUUAGAGUACGCCAAAGACGUACCAUAUCAUGAUAAGCUUUCUAAAAUUGCAUUGAAGUGGCAUUUUUCUGAAUCGCCAGAACUGGAGUGGGAAUUAUCUAAGGUUCAUGAUAUGCUUUCUGAAAUUUACGGUAAGAACCUCCACCAGCACCAACUGUAGGGAAAAAGAAAGGAGCUAGAGCAAAAUCUUUGGUUCUUUGUCCUCCUCUGCCGGCGACUCAUGCUCUUCCACAACACCUUCUGUGCUUCAAGGUGGCGGGGAGUUAGCAAAGUACCCCAACAGUGACAAAGUCAUGUACGAUGAAGACACUAAUGACGAUUUCAACAUACUGCAGUGGUGGCAAGAACACAAGCUUACCAUAUCCGGUGCUUUUCAUAUUAGCACGGGUUGUGUUAUCAGUAACCGUCUCAACGGUAUCAUCGGAGCAUUUCAGCCUAACAGGAAGAAUAACUGAGGAUAGAAGAACUAGUCUCACCCCUGAUAUGGUGAAAACACUGCUGGCCAUGAAAGAUGGAAUGCUAUCAAGAAGGCGAGCCCAACACACCGUAGAAAAGACAGAAUUGCUAGUCACGUUUGAAAAUCUGACGCUUGAAGAAGAUGAACCGGAAGAAUAGUUAUAGUGUGGUCUUGCAAUUUUUCUUCCGUAAUCCUUUUGUAAUUCUAGAGCGUGGCUUUGUACUCUUUUACUUCCCAGUGAUGGAAGGUUCCAAUGAGGCAGCCACUAAUAAGGCUCAAGAUUUAUCCCACAUGACACAUUCAAACCCCAUCUCAUUUCCCACACUCAACCAGGGAUGAUCUGAAUGUUCAUCUCAUAACCUUGAACAUCUGAACUACUACAAUGGAGAAUUAGUUGUGGAGGGUGGUGUCGUUGUGCUUAAAGGUGCAAAAGAUGCGGGAGUUUGUCGCUGAUGUGCCACGGAGGAACCGACAACCUGAGUAGGCAUAAAAUGGCACACAUCAAGAGAGACGAGAAGACUGCGGGUGCGGGGCAACAAGCUGUGUAGUUGUAGUGUUUGUAAUUAUUCUUUUUCCUAUGUCAUUGUCCUUUUGUAUUUUUUUUCCUAUGUAGUGUUUGUAUUCCAAAGAAAGCGUGCCUGGCGGGCCAAUGUGUCUGGCGUGCCAGCCCGAUUAGCAAAGGGGGCCUGCCUGGGCCGCUAGGCGCAGCAUGUGGACCGGCACGACAUGGCUCGUUUACUAAUCAUGGACCUAUGGGCCGCCGUGCAGUGUAUGGCACGAUUAUUAUGGGUCGGGUCAGUCCGUGUCGUGCUGGCACGUUUGGCCAGCUUUGAGGGACAUGACAAAACCACAAGGAUGUUCCACACAACACAAACAUUUAGACAAUAAAUUUUGUAUCAGUGCAUUUGCAAUUGUGGUUUUGCAUCAUAGCAACGCAUGGGCAGUUAACUAUAGUAAAUUAUCAAGAGUUGAUCAAACAAGUAAAGCACAUUCUAACACUUAAUAAUACAACCGUAGGGGAGAUAAAACACACAGGGUGAUCAUACACAAAAUUCACAUUAUUAUUAUACUAAAAGAAAUCGAAGCCUGCUAGUACAUCAUCAAAUCACAGCGAAAUUUAAGCAGUCGCCAGGGCGAUCGUAGCAACCUGACCGAAAGUGCCUCCUAGCGACCUCGAAGCUCAGCCGGGCAUCAACCGCCGCAUAUCUGAUCCUCUCAAAGGUCAAGGGGAACACACCCCAUCCCGACCUCCUUAACUUGUCGCACUCCCCGUCCUUGCUGAGCUUUGUUCCCAGCAGGUAGUUUGCCAAAUCAAUCAACGACGGUGUAGGCUUGCUGCAGAUGCUCUUCGGAACCUCGACGCGCUGCUGCAGGUCGAAGGAAGACGCGAUGUUCAGCCCGUAGUAGCCCAGCAUCUCCUGGUCCUGGCUGAUCCCGGCUCCGCAGAAGACGAUGUCCUUGUCGGCGAGAAACCUCCUCAGCAUUGCCGGUACGUGCCUCGCGUGCACGAUGUGGUACACCAGGCACUCGUUGGCGACGCAGAGCUGGAGCACGGCGGCGCGCUGCUUCUGUUCCUUUGGCAGGUCCUUCUGCCUCUUCCCGAAGACGGCGUCGGUGAACUCGGUGUCGAGGCCGACGAGCUUCUCGUCGGCGUCCCGGAGGUAGCUCGCCCACACGCGCGAUAUCCAUGCCUCCACCGUGGAUGCUUGGGUUGUGACGGUCGCUUUGAUGUCCAUGCCUUGAGAGUCGAAGUGGUACGGCCUUUCGUCAUUGUGCGGCGGCUGGCGCGCCAUUUGGAAGCAGCUAGCAAAGGCUGGAUUCGAAGGUAGCGACGAUGAUGAUCCCUCUGCCGCGCGGCGGCAGGCGGCAGGCGUAUGUAUGACUCGAGAAAUCAGCGUGGUAAUAAUGAAAGAAGAUGGUAUGCGUCCUGAUCGAUUCGCCAUGUAUAUACAGAGCAUGCAUCUUCUCACGUACGCGUAGGUAUACCGUAUACGAGUCGGAUUGGGAGUUGCCCUCCAAUCCUGAAUCGGACACGCAUACGAGUUGGUUCGGGAGUUCCGUCCGGAUUCCAUCAGCAUAUGCACUACGUGCUUCCGAAGACAGUAGUUCUUGAGGCCUUGAUCGAUUUCGCUCGGCGACGGCGGCACCUGUGUGCUGGACGACUGGCAGAAAUGAUACAGCGUCUUUCAUUCCUGCGACGGCUCCGGCCACGAACCACCAGAGCCGGAGCCUUUCGCGGACGGAGCCACCGGUGACGCGCCGGCAACUCACACGCCUUGGUGGCGCAAGUCGGCUAGAUCGUGUGGCCAUGAAGCCCCACAACAUGAGCCCCGGCCUUCGACAAUGCCACAGCCACCGUGUGCGUACGUCCGUCCUGCCAUGGUCGGGAUAUCACAUGGCCCGUUCAUAUUUCAGUUUUUCAGAAAUGUUUCAACUUCUGAAACUAUGUAUACCAAGUUGCCCACUCUUCAAUUGUGUAGCGAAAACAGAUGCUAAACUACAAGAUUGGGUUAGCUUACCGAAUUCCCUGUGAGAUUGCAAACCUAUCAGGCUAACAUAUUUUAACACCCUGGGCUGCUUAACAUGGUUCAUCGACACAGAUACAGUAGCUCUAUGAAAUCAGGUUAUCCUGCUAUGAACUAAAAUUGCAAAUUCCAGAAUAAUAAUGAAAAUGAACCUAGGCUUCUACUAGGCUAUUAAUUUGGCUCAUCUCCAUGCCUGGCAUCAUAGCAGUAUGAUUCGACUCAGCAACACCGAUUUGGGAAUCUGAAUUAUGAGCAAGAACAACGAGGACAGGGUAUGAUCAUGUUACCUCCUGGACAGAUCAUUUGCCCUCGAAGUCCUUGAAAUCGCCGUCAACAAUGUUGAAGGCGAUCUCCCGGCGGCGUGCCCCGGACUCCGGGAGCAGCUCCAUCUCCCCCUCGUAGCAGUCUAUGGUGCCCUUGGCGUUGAACUUGAGCCCCAGCGCCAGAUCCUGCUCCCUGACCCGCACAGGAUUUGUCCUCAUCACAUCCUCGUGACAUCUCACUCUGAAUUCUGAUUAGUUACUUUUCUUUUCAUGAUCUGAGGAGAGGCAUUAUGGCCAGACCCAAAAAAAAAGCACAUGGAACAAUAAAAGUAACACCAAGCAAAAAAGUGAAAUACUAUAUAAAUUUAGGUACUAAAUUGGAUGAGUAAAUGAAAGAAAAUAAAGAAAGAAAAAGCGCAAUCUAGCUUAUGUUUUGGGGUUAAAAGUUAACAAGAGAACAAGUUAUCCCAUGGUCGGAUUGGUAACUUGUUCUGAACUGCUUUACUGUUCAACUGUAUCAAAGGAACUGGUAAUUUAUCCGCUGUAUUAUAUUACAUCAGAGAUGACAUUACAACAAAAACAACUGGACAAGUGUUCGCUGUCUAUGCAUUACAGUCAACCAUCCCGCCAACAUCUUCUAACAAAAUUAUGUAUGCUGAGUUGCCCACUCUUCAAUUAAGUAGCAAAAACAAAUCCUAAACUGCAAGACUCAGAUCAGGUAAGGUCCCUCCAUUCGUUAUCCAGCCAUGUCAACUCAACUGGGGGGCCUUCCACAACACCUUGACGCAAGAAGCGUGCUGAUUUUUGUUUACCUGAUUCCCUGUGAGACUGAAACCCAUCAGACUCAUGGCACUUUAAUCACAAGGAUCGAACAACAUAACUGAAGUCGGGCUGAACAUACCUCUGUUAAGGAGCGGAGCGUACACAGAACUAUAAUCCAGAACGGCAUUGUGAGAAAGCCUUCAGGAUUCAUCCUAGUUAUCACUGAAAAUACAUGACGUUGAAAUGAAAAACGAUGUGGCAACAGAUGUAUGAAAAAAAUGGAUGUGGUUCCAAGAAGGAAAUAUACAAGUGGAGUAGGAAAGUACACAUUUCAAUCCAAAAUGUUUGCAUCGGUUAUUAAGAUUCUAGUAUUGUACUAGAUGAUAUAUUGAAUGACAUUUGAUGUAAUGAAAUGCCUUGCACAAGGAAGACAAAAAGUUGAGCAGCUGCGAUUGUCACAAUUACUACCUCGUCCAGUAACCUUUGGAUCCUCUCUGCUUCUUCUCGGAUACAAAUAAGGUUGGUUUUGAUCUCCUUGCAGAUCCUCCCUUCCAGUAGCCGAACCGGAACCCAGAGCUUAGGCUCCAGCUCCACCACAUACGAAAGCGUAGUCUGAAAUUCCUGCGCCGCUGAAAUUCCUGCACCAUCGACCUACACAGGAUCGAAUUACAAACAAGAUUACGUAGCUGCCUUUUUCAGAUUAAUGCAAUCCUAGGCUGCUUGGCGUGAAUUCAGGUGACAUGCUAUGAAGUAAAAUUGCUUAUUCCAGAGUAACAAUGAACCUAGGCUAUCAAUUUGGCUCGUCUCUGUAACAGCAGUUAGUUUGGGAAUCUGAAUUCUGAUAAUGAGCAACAAGGUAGGGCCAUGUUACCUCUUGGACAGACCAUUUGCCCUGGAAGACCUUGAAAUCACCGUCCACCAUGUUGAAGUCGAUCUCCCGGCGGCGUGCCCCGGACUCCGGGAGCAGCUCCAUCUCCCCCUCGUAGCAGUCUAUGGUGCCCUUGGCGUUGAACUUGAACCCCAGCGCCAGAUCCUGCUCCCCGACCUGCAGAGAAACCAAGCAUACCAUGCGUCAGACCACCGCACACGACCUGCUCGACGAAUUGGUUGGGCGAGAGGAGAGGAGAAACCUGGUAGAGGCGGGCGAAGGCUUUGUCCUGGUGGAGGAGGCGGCACUCGGAGAGGCCGGGAAUGAAGCCGGCGAGGCCCUCGUAGUCGGUGAGCGUGGCCCAGACGGCCCGGAGCGGCGCGCCGACCCGCACCCGCGCGCGCACCAGCCGCCGGUUCUUCUUCCCCGGCAGCUUCCGCACCUCCAUCUCGAAACCGUACCGCUCGUCCCGGUCCUCCUCCACCUCCCUGCCCCCCUGGGCGGUGAGGUCUUCCCCUUGGUCUCCGGCGACAUCCGGCGUCGGCUGGGACGAGGAGGAGACCGGGAGGAGGUUCCGGGGGAAAGGGGCGGAGCGGGAGACGAGGCGGAUGCGCGCGGGGGUCCAGGCAGUGGUGGUGUGGGUCAGGAGGAGGCGGAGGCGGGGCCGGCCAUGGGGGGAUGAGGAGGAGGCGAAGCAGCAAGACGCGGUGGACGGCAUGGCCAUGGCAGGCAAAGCUUCCGCCUUUGACUCCUCCACCUGCUGCCUGCCUGCCUACUGGCCUUUUGCUACGGUACACACAUUUUGCCCUUUUUUUUUUGAACACCACAUUGUGCCAUUAUUUGGUAGAGACCGUGACACGUGGACGCAUAUGAAUGUUGAAUUUGAAUAUUCAAUUUGCUUUUCUUCUUUUCUUUUUCUUCUUGCGCCAAGCAAGUGUUUGGUUUGGUUCCUUGUCCUUUUGCGUAGUUUCAAACAUUUUCUUCCUAUAUACAUUUGGGCGAGUCCUUGGAGUCAAGCCAACCAAGCAAGUUGAACUUCUAUGUAAGGGCGGAAUCUAGCUACGGCACAUGUGUAUCAAUCGGAUUUAGCGAGUUCAUGCCACUCUUGGAGAGGUAAUAGCCCUACGUCUCGUGCCGUGAAGCUUGUGUUUUCUCUUAAGGUAUGUGAUCACAGUAGGUUGCGAACCCUCGUCAUGGAGCCGAGAGAGGGCUUAUAUAGAAUGUGCUCGCCCUAAUCAAUGCCACGUUACAAGGGGAGAUAAGAGGGGGAGUAACUACAGGCGUUACUGGUAACUGCCGCUAUUACUACACUUAAUGUCCCUAGUUUAAGCCUCUCGAAGCUCCCACGUCGCCUCUUGGCCUCCUGCGUCCGAGUGCUGCUGAUGAGGCCGACUAGCGGGAAGACAUCCGAGUAGCUAAUCAUAUCCCAGUGGAUAAACAGAGGUGCGCAUCCGAAUGCGCAUGUGGUCUAGAGACCUUGCAAUGAUGGUGUGGGGCCCUAGGUGGGCCUUAGAUGUCGGGUCCAUCGCCCUACCCUUAGUAGGUGACCCUAUCAAGUACCGACAUUCCAAUGUUAUUCCCCAAAUUUCCUUAUUUUCUCAUUUUAGUGCAACAUCUUCAGCAAGUAUUCAUAGUUACAGUUAACAUAGAAAUAAAUAACUAAUCUAUUAUGACAAUGACCAUAGUCCUGGAAGACACCUUCUUAGACACAGGCAUCCUCGGCGUCGGCUGGAGCGGCUGGGGCCAACGACUCUAGAGCUAUUUGAUCAUUAAUUAGAUAGACACUAUGACACAUAGGCGUUUUGCGUGUCGAUUCAAAAUUCGUAUGUUCAGUUUGAUUUUCUUUUACUUACCCUUUUGGCUAAUUUCAACAAACUAAUCUAAAAUUUCUUAAUGACAAAACAAAUUGAUUCUUACUAGACUUUUGGGCAGGAGGUCUUUGGAGUUAGACAUCAUGAAACCAAUAUGAGAUACGGCAAGGGUGACAAUAUUAUCCAUGGAUCAAGGUGUUUGUGGAUAUGUUGCCUGUUGGACACAUUUUUGAAGGGUGCUACCUUUAAGGAAAUCCUGAAAUAAAUCCAGGAAUAAAUGCGAGCACAAAGACUUGAACCCUGGUGGGCUGGGGAUACCACUGUUCAUCUAACCAUCCAACUACAGGUUGGUUCGCAAACUCAGUAGUUAUCUAUUUGUAUUCAAGAUGUGCCCCAUGUAAACCCACACCGUACAUAUCUUGCAUAUGGGUCGACAUGAUGGCCCUAACAUUGUAGUUGGUCCCAACCUCAGUUGUGACACGUACACGCGGUGGCCUAUGCACACAAAAGUAUUAUGUGUGUCCAUUCGAAAUUUGAAUGUUGAGUUUGCGUUUUAUUUCCCUCUUCUUUUUUCUCUUUUUACUUCGUUCCAUCCUCUGGAGCAUGACUACGCUGUCCAUGACCUCGACGCGAUCGGCUAUGCUAUACAGACCACAACAGACUUUUCAAGCUCGAACGACCGAGACCGGCAGCAGUGGUUGCGCUUCUUCAAGGUGGUAGUUGUUGGAAUCCAGAGGCACACGUCGCAGUACUGUCUUCACACUUUAUCAUCGGCUGGUAAUCCGAGAUGGAACAUCCGUGCCGGGAGUGUGGAGGGAGUAAGGAUCGACGAGGCGCUCUGGUAGCAUAUAUAGCGCGGUCGUGUGUUGUGGCAUGGCGUAAUGACUGUUUGGGGCCGGGCAACGCUUAUACACUUUUGAUGUAAGUGUAGAGACAUGACAUGUCUCCUUUACAAAGCUCCCUGGUCCGAUUCGUUCAACGGCAAGGGCUUCACUUUUGAUGAGCCACCUUAAAGGUCCGCAAAGCUGCAUAUCAACGAUGGAGCCGCGUCGAGCUCGGGUGAGGAGGUGAUCCGUCAUUCUUUUUUUUUUGUGAUUGUUGUGGUGGUGCCGGAGACAGGUGACGAGCGUUGGUGUCAAGCUCAGAGAUGUUGUGAUAUCUUUCCAGUUUUGUCAUAUCGAUCCUUACGUGACUUGUACUUUAAUCUUUAUGAUAUGAAUGAUGCAUUAUUACCAUGCAAAAAAAGAGCUCCUUGCACGCGCUAGGCGUUCUGGGGCCGGAUUGUUUUGUUGGGCUUUUUUCCUGAGAAAAGUAUACUUUUCGUCUAUCAACUCUGGGCGAAGUCUAGAUUUAAUCCCUCAACUACGAAAUCGGAUAUAAAACUUGCAUCCCCAACUCUUGAAACCGGACAAGUCUCGUCCAUGAUCUCAUUUUUGACCGGGUUUUGGUGACUCAUGACUCACCCGAGUUUUGACCGGUCCAUGCCAACGUGUCAAAGAAGACCCAAAAUUGACCUUCCUGCUGCCUCUCGUACUCCCCGGCUCUCUCACGCGGCGUCUACUCUAUGGGCAGAGAGCGCAGGGAGGAGCAAGCUAGCUAGCUAGCUAUCGGUGGUGGUGAUCUCAACAGCGUGAGCGCGGCGGCAGCAGAUGGGAGAUCACCGCUGCUCCACCUGCUCGUCGCCGGGAUGGACCACGUCGCCUUUGUGACCAGGCUGGGGCACCUUGGCGCGAAGCAUUGAGGCCGAUUGAUUCGCCCAUCCGCCGGCCAUAGACACGCACGUACAGGACCUUUAUCGAUUCGAUCCGUUCUGGCCAGAACACACGUACGCAUGUCACCAGUUGCACCGGUUGAUGCAUGCCCACAAAAACGUGUCGCCCAUGUUCAUGUUGAAUGGAGUGGCGAUUGAGCCGGCCCCAUGAUAUGCAUGGCUCUGUGCGGACCAGCGGCUAGAGGGCGCCUAGCAGCGGCGAGGCUGUAUCCAGAUGGAGCACCGAGAGCGACAACGGUUAUAUAUGAUGGCGACGUGGAUUCCGAGGCAUGCAUUGUGGCCUACUAAGCUGACCACUGGGUACAUCAAAGCGUCAAUCAGAUUAGUUAGAGCAUCUCCCACACGGUAAAAAAGUUUUGCAGCACCGAUAUAGUGCUUUUGCGUGCGGGAGGUUUACCAGACGCACAAAAGCACGACGCCCAGCCCGGCGGCCCCACAUGCUGCAGCCUGCACGCACAAGCCAGUGCCCCAAAUUUACAGCCCCGUAGCUCGCGUGCGCUAAAAGUUGUAGCUUCGUUUCUGCGCGCGCUUUAUUUUACAGCUUAUGCAUGCUGGAGCACUGUUUUUUGUCUCUCGCGCGCCAAAUAGGCGUUUUUUUCUGGCGGGCGGCUUAUUAAACGCGUCUGUUGAAGAUGCUCGUAGAAAGGUGUUGUCACAAUCCCAUGCAUGCUGCAAAUCAUAUAUACUUAAGAAGUUCACCCCCACUACCAUAUUUAUCUCAACAUGCAGCACAUCCACCUCAGCAAUCUUGCCAUGUCAUCAACUCAGAACCUACAUGCAUGCCAUGUCAUGCGUUCAGUUUCCAGUCAUAUAUACGCAACGCAACCAACAGAAGACAAACCACGAACCCUCUCAUGCAUUUUUUUUUCCAGCCGUAAACCACUGAUAGCUGCAGCGUUUCUUGUACCCGUUCCUCUCUUCUCCAUGUCCUUUCAUUAUGGCCUUUAAGUUUUACGUAACAAAGAGACAAGUACAUACACGAACCCAAAGGACUAGCAACUGCAGACAAGAACAGAUCGUUUAGCUUCGUCUCCCUCCCAUCUAGAUCUGAAACAGUUCUGAACCACUAUUUAUUUGAGGUGUGUUGCCCACCACUAUUCAAUCCAUCUGCUACUGUGCACCUUCGUUUCAGCUUCUAGAUCGUCCAUCUGAUUAAAUUGAAGCACGAGAUGGAGAAUCCAUCAAGGCUGGGUAUGCAUGUCUACCUCGCCACCCGCUCGCUGGUAGAAACAUGUCUAUACUGCAAGGGGAUCGUGGCCUGCUCGCGUUUUCGUCUCUGUCACCAGCAUGCACUCCAGUAUAGCUGUCCGCUGCCAAUUUUCAGCUCCCCCUGCUUUCUUAUCCGUGGGCUUAUGGAUUUGAAAUUUUUAGAUUGCACUUUAACUCGGAAAGUUCUCACAAUUUUGCCGGCAAUGGCCACCGCUGCUUCGUUGUUUCUUAGGUAAUCUUUUUACUUGCAUUGGCCACAACCCUUCUGCUUUGUAUACCUCCUGACACCACAUCUACUGGUACUUGAAUAUCCUAAGGUAUCUUCUUAGUAGCUUUGUCUGUCUCAAUAUUAUUGUACCAUGCUACCAAACAAAAAGAGUAGAGGUCCUAGAUGUAUUAAAAGUGAUUGCAAAAGGGUAAUACCAAUAAUAUUCAAGGUCCCACAUGAGAACCGCAUAACAAGGAUUUUCAGCAUCAACUGAAACAUAAAAUGAGAAGCAACGGUGGAUUUUGUCCAAAAAAACUAAGCAACAGUACAAUAAAUCAAAUACAAAUUCCAUUUGACUUUUUGAUGUACCUGUUUGUCCUUUCUACGAUGUGUCCCCUGGAGUAUAAAAUCAUGUUCAUCUACAAAAAUGAUGAUGAAUGAGCUAAGAUUUUGCACUUGGAAAGAAAACAAAUUUAGUCACAUCAUUUUUCCGCUAAUCAUCAAAAAGAAUUGCACCCAUAAUUGUAUGUCGAUUUGAUGGAUACAAGUAUACAACAUCUAUCUAGUGGGUUUAGUUUUGUUCAUCUUUUAGUUGGAUAUACUUAGAAUUAACUCUCCGUACAUCCUUCCUUGAGAUGUUAAUUGCCAACUAAUUCAAAGUUUCUAUGUAAAUCCAAUACAUUAUUUUUCAACAAUAUAUAAGCGAAGAUUUCCGCCGCAACGCGCGGGGAAUCGUCUAGUAAAGUGGAAAGGGCUUAUACUUGUUUGCUUCCCGUAGAACGGCCGCAGCCGCAGCACUAGCAGCAGGGGCCAUGCAUCCACCGUGGCGCGGCGCGUCCACUCCAGCUGGUCCAAGGAAGAGGAGAAGGUGCCGUCCUCGCCGCCGGCAAACCUCUGGGCGGACACGAACAGGGUGUGGCCGUUGGGGUGCAGGGCGUAGCAGAGGAUGAUGCAGUCGGACAUCGUUGAACGACUCGAGCGGCGGACGGUGGUCCAGACCCACGGGGUACAAUGGCGGCCAGUAUCGUCCAGGAGGAGACAGCGUUGAACGGGAAGAGCUUGCCUUGCCGGCCAAGGAGACGAGGAGGGGCAGCCGGCAGUCCAUGCAUGCGGUACCGUUCGCCGGCCACGGAUCGAUGCCAGGGCCCACGUUGUGGGUCUUGGCGCCGUGCGCCACCAAGGCGUGUGAGUUGCCGUGCACGGCCUCGAGGCGCGCCACCGGCGGCUAAGCGGAAGGCUCCGGCCACCGUCGCAGGAAUGAAAGGCGUCCACGUCCACCAGUCGUCCAGCACCCAGCGAACUCGGUCAAGGCCUCAAUAACUACUUACUCCUACUUCGGGAGAACGUAGUGCAUAGGACGGAAUCCGGAGGGAACUCUUGAUCACGCCUUCUUCUUUCAUUAUUUCGACGUACGUGUCCGUCGUUCGAAUCAGGAUGCAGGAGGAACUCCCAAGCCAACUCGUAUACGUGUCCGAAUCAAGCGUACGUUCGUGUGCGACUCCCAAUCCGACUCGUACGUGAGAACAUGCAUGCUCUAUAUAUACCUGGCGAAUCGACCAUCUUCUUUCAUUAUUUCGACGUACGCUGAUUUCUCGAGUCAUACGCCUGCCUGCCGCCGCAGAGAGAUCAUCAUCGUUGCUACCUUCGAAUCCAGCCUUUGCUAGCUGCUUCCAAAUGGCGCGCCAGCCGCCACACUGUUAAAAUAAAUCCGAGGCACGCGGGUCGAUCCAUCGAGGAACAAGCAAUCACAGACAAUAAUGACACCGAGAUUUGUUAACGAGGUUCGGCGAACUCGCCUACUCCCCGGGGCAAUGACUACGGGCGCUCCUUCCUGAGAUACUGCAACACCGGCCACCCGGGCGCCGGCACAAGCCGCCAGCACCCCUUGCGAGCCUGUCGCUAUCUAGUCGUCAUGGGUUACAACGUGGGGUGCCUCCUCAUAUAUAAGAGGCCAAGGGUACAACGUGUCCGACUCCGACACUACAAGUAUCCUACCCACACUACAACACCAAGUCCAAGCGUAACCCAACUAGUACAAAAUAUUCGACACAAACACAACAAACUCCACCUUGGCGAAUAUUCUCCACCACCUUGAAUUUGUCCAUGCGUCAAACUUCCAUGUACUCCGGACUUGUGUUGUCUUCUUCGUAGCUUACUGUGAGCUACUCGACGAGUCUGCCCCAGACCCGCCGCCGCCGUUAGACCCCGCUGCUACUCCUGCAACUCCAGUCUCCGUGACUCCACCUGCAAUAGUGCUCCCUUGCAACUUGUAAAGAUGCGAAGCCGUCCUCUCUCCAAUCAUCACGGUCACCUUAUCUUCCAUGAUUCUCAUGGUCUUCCUAUCCCGAUCACAACGGAAUACCAUACCACCAUCAUGAAGAACACCAAGCGAAAUUAGAUUUCUCCUUAGCCCUGGCACAUGCCUGACUCCCCGAAGCAUCCGCUCAACUCCGUCAAACAUCUUGAUUUUGAUGUCACCCACUCCAGCAACACGAUAACCUGUGUCAUCGCCCACAUAGGCUAAACCAAACUCACCAGACUUGUACGAAGAGAACCACUCCCUGUUGGGUGUCGCAUGAAAAGAGCAAGCUGAAUCCAACAUCCACGCUUCACCUUUGGUUGACCGCCUGUCUGAUAGUAUGAGAACAUCACUACUGCUGUCUGAGUCAUCACCAUGAGUUGCCUUAUUAGCACUUGCCCCACUAUUGAGUUCUGGACAGUCCUUUCUCAUAUGUCCCCACUGCUUACACUUGUGACACUGUAUAUUCUUGUUCUUUUUCUUGUUCUUCCCAGCCUCAUAUCCCUUCCGCAACUCCUCACCCUUGACUAGCAAACCUUCACCAUGAGAGACUUCCACCGCGUUCUUCUUUCUCAUAUCAUAAGAUAGCAAUGCCGCAGUAAUAUCCUCAUUCUUGACGGUCUCCUUGCCGUGCGUCAAAGUAGUGAUCAAAUGGUCAUAGGAUGAUGGCAACGAACAAAGAAGCAGAAUUGCCCUAUCCUCGUCGUCAACCGUUGCACCCAAGAGUGCUAGAUCCGUCACGACUUGAUUAAAGGCGUUCAUAUACUCCACAAGAUCUGACCCCUCCUGCAUCAUCAUCCCAUACAACUUUUGCUUCAGAUACACCUUGGUCGUUGCAGUCUUGGACAUAAACUGACUUUCCAGCUUCUCCUAGAUCUUCUUCGGCGAAUUCUCAUCCAUCACAUGAUAAAUAACCUGGUCCGACAGACACAACUGUAUAGUCCCGACUGCUUUCAACUGUAACUCCUCCCAGUCAUCCGCCUCCAUCUUAGCUGGCUUGGCUUCCUGCAACAACGCCUCCAGGCAUCCCUGUUGUGCCAACAAAUCUUUCACCCUUGUCUGCCAUAACCCAAAGCUUCCAGUUCUGUUGAACUUCUCCACCUCAAACCUGGUACCCGAUGGCGCCAUGGUCCUUUGUAUGGCGGACCCUGUGAAAAAUUAUAUGAGUUAUCCCCGCGACGCCCAAGUACACUAGCAAAACCCACGUGGUCUCACCUCCGUGCACUAAUACCAAUCCGCCAAAAACAAUUGGUCUUCACGUGUUCUGCUCACUUGGCUCAACCCCACAAUGCUAGCUUUUUGCCUUCUCUGCCAAAUACUCCUGCUACUCGAUGGGUGCGUAGCCCCUGAUGGAUUUUCUCUUGCGCCGAUUUCGAUCUGUUGCCUCGCCGUACGGUGACCCAGCCCAGGCUGCUCCUUUUAUUAGCGCCUCAUAAGUCUCCGCCUAGAUGACGAGUUCCACCAGGACUCGGUCCUGCUUCUUUUUUGUCCAAAACAAACUCGGUCGAUACCUGUUUGUACACGACUCGUGUCUGGUCUUGCGCACCUCCGUACGCACGCGUACGCGCUAACCGGCUGCCGCUUGGCCCGUGAUUUUGCCUGCCUGUAGUCGUACGGCUUCUCCCUCUUGCUCCGCAGCUCAUACACGCGUCUCCACGCGCGCGACACGCUGCCGGAUCUCGCCGAGUCGCCGAUCCCACGACCUGCUGCUGCAACUCACUUCCGCCUAGGCAUCCAACCACACGACUGCUUCUCCAUCCUCUGGAUCAACAUACAACGGCCUCUCCAACCUUGCUCUGAUACCACUUGUUAAAAUAAAUCCGAGGCACGCGGGUCGAUCCACCGAGGAACAAGCAAUCACAGACAAUGAUGACACCGAGAUUUGUUAACGAGGUUCGGCGAACUCGCCUACUCCCCGGGGCAAUGACUACGGGCGCUCCUCCCCGAGAUACCGCAACACCGGCCACCCGGGCGCCGGCACAAGCCGCCAGCACCCCCUUGCGAGCCUGUCGCUAUCUAGUCAUCAUGGGUUACAACGUGGGGUGCCUCCUCAUAUAUAAGAGGCCAAGGGUACAACGUGUCCGACUCCGACACUACAAGUAUCCUACCCACACUACAACACCAAGUCCAAGAGUAACCCAACUAGUACAAAAUAUUCGACACAAACACAACACACACAAUGACGAAAAGCCGUACCACUUCGACGCUCAGGGCAUCGACAUCAAAGCGACCGUCACCGUCCGAGCAUCCACGGUAGAGGCGUGGAUAUCGCGCGUGUGGACCAACUUCCUCCGGGACGCCGAGAGGAAGCUCGUCGGCCUCGACACCGAGUUCAGCAACCCCGUCUUCGGGAAGAGGCAGAAGGACCUGCCAAAGGAACAGAAGCAGCGCGCCGCCGUGCUCCAGCUCUGCGUCGCCAACGAGUGCCUGGUGUACCACAUCGUGCACGCGAGGCGCAUACCGGCAAUGCUCAGGAUGUUUAUCGCCGACAAGGACAUCGUCUUCUGCGGAGCCGGGAUCAGCCAGGACCAGGAGAUGCUGGGCUACUACGGGCUGAACAUCGCGUCUUCCUUCGACCUGCAGGAGCGCGUUGAGAUUCCAAAGAGCAUCUGCAGCAAGCCUACCCCAUCGUUGAUUGAUUUAUCGAACUACCUGCUGGGAACAAAGCUCACCAAGGAUGGGGAGAGCGAGAGGUUAAGGAGGUCGGGAUGGGGUGCGUUCCCGUUGACCCUUGAACGGAUCAGGUAUGCGGCGGUUGAUGCUCGUCUGAGCUUCGAGGUCGCUAGGAGGCAUUUCCGAUCUGCUUCCUACGAUCGCCCUGGCGACCGCUUAAAUUCGUCGUGAUUAGAUGAAGUAGCAUAUGCUGCUCCAUUUCUUUUAGUAUAAUAAUGUGAAUUUCGUUUAUAAUCACCCUGUUGGAUCCCCUGCCCUGUGCUUCUAAUAUUAAGUGUUAGUAUGUGUUUUCAUUGUUUGGAUACCUUUGUAAAUUUACUAGUUAAAUGCGCGUACGUGCUAUGAUGCAAAACCACAAUUAUAUAUAAAUGCACUGAUACAAAGGUGUGUGUGGGGCGAUUUCAUCAAUCUCAAGAUAAUGUGCUGACUCAUUCUUUCGAAUGUGCGCUCAUAGAGGUAGGGUGUUCUAACAUGCGUCAUAGGGAUGGAUUGAGCGUCUUCAUCUGUAUUGUGUUAAAAAAAGAAGAAGACAUCAAAGCAUCAACCAUUGAUUGCAAUUUUUUGUUGGUGGCCUACCCAGCUGAUCACUUGGUACAUCAAAGCGUCAAUCAGAUUAGUUAGAAAAAGGUGUUGUCACAAUCCCUGGAAAUCUCCCCCGGUGAUUCCUCAGAAAAAGAAAAACAAUCCCAUGCAUGCUGCUGCAAAAUAAAGUGGAAAGAGAGUUAUACUUGAUCGCAUGCAUGUCACGAUACGUGUGUCAUUAAAGUGGAUCUUAGGCCGGCGUGCAAUUGGAUUAGAUGUCGUGUUCGAUCUCGAAAUUACUGAGUAGAGAAUUUCAAAAAAAAAAAGGAGUAGAGACGUACUAUGUUUGGAAACCAUAUGCAAAUCAGCACCUCAACCCGUACGCAAUCAUCUACUUAACAUUACUCACCUCAGAUCGAUGGAAGACUCGGCGGCGGCAAUGGCGGCCGCCCUCCCAAACGACGUCCUCCUCGAGAUCCUGCUCCGACUGGACGACGCGGCCGACCUCUUCCGCUGCGCCACCGCGUGCAAGCGACUGCGCGGCCUCGUCAUCGAUUCAUCCUUCCUCCUGCGCCGGUGGCCGGAGCACGUGCGCCCAUCCUUGGCCGGAUUGUUCAUCAAGGAUCGGGGCCGUUAUCAAGGGUCCAAGGUGCUCGUCCCGACGCCGCGGUCCGAGCUGGGUCCAGGCCGCCGCCGUGCCCUCAGCUGCUUCGUUCCCGGCAUCUCUGCACGCCUAUUAUACCACGCGGUGCCGCUGUUCUCGAGUCGCGGCCUCCUGCUCGCGCGCCUCGCCCCCAAGGACACAAGUUGGAGCGUCGUCCACCUGGCUGUCUGCAACCUGCUCACCGGCACAUGCGACGUGCUCCUUCCUAUACAGCUAGGUCUCGCGUCCCUCUCCCCUGCCUCCCCUGCCGGCGAGCGUAGCGGCUGCGCCAUCGUGACCGGCACGGACUAUCGCCGUUCCAGCAGCGACGACGAGGAACCACGGGGCAAUUCACCACUCUUCAAAGUGAUAGUCCUCACCGUCAGCUGCAAGGACGACCUCAAGUUCUACCUUAACACGUUCUCGUCCGACGAACCGAGCUGGAGAGCCAUGCGCACGGUGUCCUUUGGCGCUACCAUAGACGCCAAUGCCUCCGGGUCGUUCUGUCAGAGCGAUGCCGUCGUGCGCCACGGCACCGCGCACUGGCUAUUUCGUAACGAGACGGCGCGGUGUUUCUGCCUUGUUGGAGUGAACGCCCAGAGCGGCCAUGUCUCCUUCACGAGGCUCCCCGUCCCGAUGAUGACCGAAGUAGAUUACCCGUGCCUUUGCUCAGGCUCAGCCACCGAUGGCACGCUCUCGGUGCCACACAUGCAAUGGGGAGGUUCCCCGGUCGAGCUAAUGAUACAGCCUAGAAAAGAGAAUCAAGGAAGAGAAAGGUUAUACAUUGUGGGAGAGAAGUGUGGUAAAUUGAUUGUGAAGGACAGGCGCGGACGCGUGUACACAGGCAACCUCUCGACCGGGGCAAUGGAGGAGGUGGCGGACUGGCCUCGCAUGUGCCACAUCAACACUCCGAAUGUUGUGCCUUGGAGAUGGAUUGGCCGGCGUUCUUUGUUUCCCGCCUUGGUACCAUAAGGUAUAGCCAGCCAUUCUUAUAUGUGCCUUUCUUGAUUUUGUUUUGCACAACUAGAUGGGGUCAUCAGUUAGCUAGGUUGAUUAAGCAUUGCUUUCUUGAUGAAUGAAUUCUCCUUUUCCUCGCCAAAAAAAAAAAAAAGAUUAAGCAUUGCUUCUACUAUUACAUGAUUCAAGGAUAUGUUGUUUAUUUUACCAUGUCCAUAUAUUUGAUAUUUGAUGUCUUCCUCCCAAGAAAGGUAUAUCUUAUGUCUGGGUUUUGUUUGUGUCUUUGUUUUUUUACUAGCAACCCUGGCAUUUGCCGUUCAUCUCCAAGUAGAAAGGGAAGUCCAAGAAGAAGAGGGUGAUGCGGCGGGAAGACUUGUGACCGCGACAAGGCCACAGAUGGAUGAAAAGAGAUACUAGCUCUACAUCGAGAUAAUAUUAGAUUACGUGUGUUUUUUAUGCAGAAAUUCAUUAUGGGUAUCACCAAAUUGUAACUACAGUUCUCACAAACAUGUCGGUUUUGUCAUGGCGGUUGGUAUACCCUUUGUCCAAGGCAGUAUUUAUCACUGAUGGAGCACUUUUGCUUAUCUGUAUGCAAUGGGAAAGGUCCCGAAGUAGUGACACGGGAGAAUGCGAACGAGACAUGAGUGUCUCCACGCUAAGAUAUCUCGGUUGUCCACGACCAACCCUACGAGCGCACUAUUGCCCAUUGUGCACUGCAGGAAAUCACCCAAUUUUGCAAGCCACCGCCACGCCGCGCCUACUGCUGCAAGCACUGCCUGCACCACGACGAGUUGGUGAUGCAUACGUUGCCCGGUGCGCUGCACCGACGACGGCGAACAACAGCGGUGCUGUCGGCAACGGCAGGGGCGUUUUUUAAACUUCAUCUCUGUUGUAAUUUUUCUGCAGCAUCACCUGUGUUGCAAAAGUUCCUUCCACAACAAUACCUAUCUUGCAAAAAAGUGAAGAUGAAUACUCCCUCCGUUCCUAAAUAUAGGUCUUUCUAGAGAUUUCAACAAAUGACUACAUACGGAGCAAAAUGAGUGAAUCUACACUCUAAAAUAUGUCUACAUACAUCCGUAUAUGGUAGUCCAUUUGAAAUAUCUAAAAAGACUUAUAUUAAGCAACGGAGGGAGUAGAUUAGAAGAUUUCUAAAAGAAAAACUUUGUUACAAUUUUUAUUUAUUUUUUCAAUAAGACCUCUGUUGAAAAGAAAAAUCAGCGACAAGAGCUCUAUUGCAAUGAUGAAGGCCGCUCGACGCUAGAUCUGAUGGCUUGGGACCCGUCUGAUUUUUGAAAAGAAUCAGUCGCUUAGUGGACACUUAGCACGCCCCUUUGGGAAUCCCAAGAAUUGUGAAACGUUUGUUCUAGUAAAAAAUGGAAUUGCAAAACGUGGAGUUUGCAGUAUUUUUUUUCUUGAAUAAAGGAGGGAGAAAAAGAAAAUACCCAUUUCGAUUACAGAAACAGAAAAACGAGGGCCCAUUCCUCUUGGGGCACUGAUCUGCGCCGGUCGACCGGCCGAGUCGUUCCGCCGGUCCAACUGCGUCCGUCAGAUCUGAUCCCCUGCACCGUCAGAUCCCUUCCUCCCCUCACCUCCUUCUUCAACCUUCAGAUCUGAUCACGCGCCGCCUUCCUCGCCUCGCCUCCUCACCGCCGGUCGCCUACGGUCGCCGCCCUCGCCGCUGGUCGCCCGCCCUCACCUAUGUCGUCUUUGUGUGGUUCUAAAACCUUCAUGGAUGCAGCAGCGUGCGGCCAUGGUUACGGCCGGUCGAGGUUGCAGCUCGCCGCGAGCCCGUAGCAGCUCGCCGGCGACCGGUUGCAGCAUCCGCCCCUGCCCCCCGUGCUGUAUCUCGGCGCCGGAAUUCACAGAAACCCGUGCUGGGUCGCAGCUCGGCCGUGAUGGAUGUAGCAAAACAUUAUGCCGGUUGUAGCAAAAAAUGAUGCUAGUUGUAGCAAAACCGCGAUGCCGGCUGUGUGUUGUAGCAAAACGUGACGCUAGUUGUAGCAAAAUGCUAUGCCAGUUGUAGCAAAAAUCUAUGCCGGUUGAAGCAUGUAGCAAAACUGCAGCAUUUUAUCAUUUUCUUCCACCUCCAGCCGUCGCUGGUUGAAGCUUUCUUAUUUUCAGUGUCUAGUUGUAGCUUUCUCUCUUAAUGGUUGGAGCUUUUUCCAACCAUUACUCUGGUUCCAGCAAAAUUACUCUGGUUCCAGCAAAAUUCCCACAAAUCAUAAACCCUAACAAAUUUGAUUGUAGCAAAAGAAACACCCGGUUCCAGCAAAAAAAUCCACAAACAUCAAAAUCCAACAAAUUUGAUUGUAGCAAAAGAAACAGCCGGUUCCAACAACAAUUUAGUCUGGUUCCAGCAUAAAUCCCACAAACAUCAAAUCCAACAAAAAUUGAUUGUAGCAAAAAGAACAGGAGGUUCCAGCAACAAAAAAGUCCCGUUCCAGCAAAAAACAACACGUUGCCGGAGAGCUCGCUGCCCACGCUCGCAGCACCCCCCGCAUCGCCUCUCGUCGGCACCGCACGCACGCACAGCUGCCGUCGCGCGUCGCUCCAUCACCUCGGGCAUCCAGCCCCCUCUACUGACACGCGAAGCGGGAGAGUGGGUUGGGCACGGCUUGUAACGAGAGAAAAGGGAUGAGUUCGUCGGAGAAAGCCGCCGACGGGAUUGGUUGGGAAGCGCCUAGAAGCUUCGCGCGGGCGGGGCGCGGAGGUGGUGGUCAUUGGUAGUGCCGGCCGGAGGUGCGGUUUGAGGCGAAGAGAGAUGCUCAGCUCACGAAGAAAUGAAUGACGGGGAAGCUUCGCGUGUGUACAGAGGAUAGCGCUUCGCGUCUAAAAAGAUAAGGCAGCGCGUGUCCAGCGUGCAUAUGAGUCGCACGAUCGAGAAUGAUCAUGCGGCGCGCGUCAGACCGGCCGAGUCGUUAGCCGGUCGACCGGCCGCAAACAUUACCCUUCCUCUUGCCCCCGAGCUCACCGCGUCCCUGCAGCCACACACCCUAACCCUAGCCGCGAUCCGUCGCCACCCCGCCGUCGCCGUCCGCCUCCUCGACCCCGCCGCCACCCACCCUCGCCCUCGUCCUCGCGCCGCCCCCACGAUAUCAGCGUCGUCCCGAGCCCGACCCCGCCGCCGUCCACUGGCACGAGCUCACCGUCGCCCUCCCCCGAGUCCGUGCUCGCCGUCGCCCGCCCUUCUCUCAAGGUGAGCUCAGCCAGAUCCCCUUCCCCCCUCUCUUCAAAUCCGUCGACGCCGAGCUGUUCUGCUGUGUCGGAUUUCGAGAUGCGUUGGCUUAUCACUGAGCUGCGCUGUGCUGUGCUGUGUAAAUUUAGCCAUUGUGCCGUCUUUCACCGAGCUGUGCAGAAUUUGGUAUGCCCCUCUCGAGUUGGCUACUGUGCUAUGCCGACUGCCGAGCUGAUUGCUUACCUCAAAAUAGGGAACAACUGAUGUUCUGUUGUGCUCAUUUUUUUUUUCCGCUUACUUCUGUGGUUGAACAGUGGAAAUAACAAAAAAUUUCUAACAAAAGGAUGGGAUUAAGGUUCAGGGACAUUGUAGACUUUACACUAUUUAGCACAGAAAAGGAGCCCCAAAUUCAGUAAGCCGUAAAGAAUAUGAAAAGCAGUUCCUCGGAGCUUCCCACAUUGUAGGAGCUUAUAUUUACACUGCAAUCCAUAAGCCUGUUUCUGGAGAUGCUAAAGCUCAAAAGAAGUAAUCAGUGAUGUCUUUCGAAGUUGUUUUGCAGUGGAGGUUAUCUUUCCUUAAAUUCUUGCGCAGAAAUGUUAAAAUACCAAUUAAGUUAAUCAUAAUCUUACUGCCAAAUUGUCACCAUUCACAGUUAGAAAUUGAUACGGGCACUGACUCUGUGUGUCACUUGUUUCAUUUAUGGCAAUGCACUUGUGUGUCGGAUGUUAUUUUUGGAAAAAUUAUAACAUCAGGAAACCAAAUAAUUAAGGACAAAUACAUAGGGGAAUACGUCAUGUUUCACCAAACAAACCAACCACUUGCGUGGUUUUAAAAUCAUUUCCGGAGCUUGAGCUCUUAUUCUCUUGUCUAACACUCUGGUUUUUCUUUACAGGGCUAUAAAUGGCAGGGAGACAGCGCAUAGGUCGCCAGUACUAUGAGGAACCAUGGGGAUUUCGUGAUGGCCCCCCUCCUCGACUUGCCCGGGAAAGGUCUAUCUCACCACGACGCAUCGAAGGAGAGCUGUCUAGCCGCCGUGGUGAGAUACGCAGAAUCCAUGAUGACAACCAACGUCUGGCGGAUGAAAUUGUUGGACUCAGGCAAGCAAUGUCCCGUUUGAAAGAAGAUCUCCAUUCCUCAAGUCAGGUUAUACCUAAGCUCCGUGCAGAGAAAGAACUUGAAUCGAGGGAGCUGACUCAGAGGAACCUGAAGCUGGAAGCUGAGCUGCGCUCCUUAGAACCCCUUAGGCAAGAUGCCUUGCAUCUACGAUCUGAAGUAGGUACGCUAGAGUCUUUGAGGCAAGAGCUGAACGCAAAGGUGCAGGGUCUGACAAAGGAGCUUGAGCAACAGAGCUCUGAAAACCAGCGCAUACCUGCCAUGAUUGCUGAACGUGAUGAUCUGCGGCAGGAACUAAUUCGUGCUAGGUACGGAACCAUCCUGGUCUGUGUUUCUGCUACAAUAGGCACAUCAUGCUGAGUCUACGUUGGUGGCCCACAUGAGGAAAUCAUUUUAUUGUUUCAAUGCAUUCCUCCCUUUUUAUUUUAUUUUAGUGGAGGGGUAGCUAACUAUUAAGAUCACUGCAGGGCGGCUCUUGAUUAUGAGAAGAAUGCAAAGCCAGAGCUGAUGGCACAGGUGCAGGCAGUGGAGAAGGAUCUUGUGACUAUGGCUCAGGAGUCUGAGAAGCUUAGGGCUGAAAUUGAGAAGAGAAGGGCACCACCACCUAGUAGGUUUCAUUCCCUCACUUGCAUCCAAGUCACUGAAAAUCACUUGUGGUUAACCUGUAUGUUUAAUAUACUUUUAGGGGUCAGCGGCUAUGGAGCUUACGGACCACCUCCUGGGAUGGGCGUGCAAGGCAUGUACGACGGCGGCUACAAUACCUACACAGACAGGCGCUACGGUACGGGUGGUGGACCAUGGGACCCCCCUAGCUACCCGCGCCCUUGAUUUGUGGUUUUGAUUCUUGUCAGUCGGCGUUCAUCAUCGUGACAAAGUUCCUAAUGUCUCUGGUACUGAUGCUUGUGGUGCUGGUGCCUUGUUCAGAAGAUUGUAACCAUGGAUGCUUGUACUGAUGCUUUUUCUGAUGCUUGUGGUGCUGGUGCUUUGUUCAGAAGAUUGUAACCAUGGAUGCCCGUGGGUCAUUUUAGGAAGCAAUUCAUUGUACUUAACAGGAUGUGGACCCUUUUGAUACUGUUGCUAAUCUUUUGAUUGGUGAACAUUAUUGCCUGACAAAAGUGAGGGCUGCUGCAAGCCUGCAUUGCUGCUUUGUUCAUGCUGAAGGUGGUGGAUAAGGAUAACAGCAACCUAAAUGUUGUGCAUUCACCGAUAUCGCCUUGUUUUUGUUUUCUUGAUAUAAAUUCGAAUGGAGAAUUUUUGUGGUACACAGCACAAGUUUUCUUGGUGGAGGGGUGGCCCCUAAACAAGUGUGGAGAUGGAGGUGCCCUGCUUCAGGUGUUGAAGCACAAGCUGCUCUGGAUGCCUCAGAAUUGUGUGCUAUAUGAAGUAGCUAGGUUUGUAAUCCAAUAGUGCAAGUUUCUCAUGUAUGCAUCUGUAGGGAUAAGCCCUGAACCGAGCUGAAGUGAAACUUUUGAUUUUCUUGAUGUAUCAUGUAUGGUUUUCAUGAAGAAAAGUCCAAGUUAAGUUAUGUAGCUUCUUAAGAGAAAUGAUACUUAAAAAAGUUACCUUUUCAUUAAAAUUUACAGACAGGUAUAA